AGCAUCAGGAUGCAAAAUCCCAAUAUAAAAUUUUUAAAUAUUUAAGAUAUUAAAAAAUAAUAGAGUCUAAAUGUAAAAUUUACAUUUCAAAAUCCAAAAGAUUUAAAUACCACUAAAUACAAUAUACAAUAACUAGUUUUAUUAUAUUUAUUAUUUCUUAUUGACCUAAGAAUAUUCCGAAUUUGUAGAAAUAUCGACUCUAACAGAGAGAUGCAGCUCACAGAUGGACUUUUUUUCCGGAUAUUCGAAUGAUGUUCAAAGCAUGGGCAUAUUCAAAUGAUGUUCAAAACAUGGGCAUAUGACCAUACAUGCAGAAUUAUAUCUUUUGAUAACUGAACGAAUCAGCUUUACAAAUAAAUUAAUUUUAGGUUUCUAAUUUUCUGAUAUUCAGAUAUAUCAUAAUUUAUACAUAAUUUUUUUAAAUAGUAUUUGGUUAUUCUACUGAUAUUUAGGGAAAGUUUCUAACAAUAUUGGAAUACCACACUGGAAUUGAUACAACUACAGGCUUCGAAGUUCGUUUCUAGUUAAACAUAAACCUUAUAUUUUGCCUUCGUUAUCCUAUAUAACAUUAAUAAUUAUGUGAAAUUUAAAGUAUAUUAAUAAAUUAUAUAUAGGUCACAUUUUUAGAGUUUUAAAGAGAAAAAGAUAAAAAAAAUAUUAAAAACAUUAUUUGCAAAGUAUAAAAAAUCUUUGUGACUUCAUUUCGUUCCAUAGAAAUUAAAAAUCAAAUAAUUAAGGAAAUGUAUCUUUUCUUACAACAUAUAUGAUAAUAUAAUAUAUUUUCAAUAAAAUUGUUGUUCAUAUUCCAAAUUGGAAGAUUUAUGGUAUUAUAUAUUGGUAAAUAUGUAUAUAUUAAGGAUAUUUGACCAAGAACAACAUCAAUAUAAAUAUACAUUCAUUUAAUGUUGUUGACUGACUUGAUUCAUCAAAUCUAUAAAUGUGCCAAAAUUUAUAAAGAAGUGAAAACAAAAUUUUAAAUAUCUUUCAAGAUUUAGAUUCACCAAAGAAAAAAUGGCUUCCUUAAGUGAUGAAAUUUUCGAUGUUAUUGGUGAACUCAUCCUUAUGAAGGAAGAAUCAAAAGAAGAUGAAGAGCACGUGAGGGGUUUGGAGAAAACUUUAAUUGAAUACCUUGAUGAAAACAAGAUUAUUCUGGACAGCCAACAUUUUGAAGCAAUCCGACAUUUAAAUAUAGAUAGAUUAAUUGAGUCUCAGCUGAAAAUCAUAGAUAAUUGUAUUGAAGAGAACAAUAAGCUUAUUGAAGCGAUGAAGGUUUGCCCAGGGGAGGAUUGCCCGUGUAGCUGCCACAGUCUUACCAAUAAAAAAACCAAUAAUUAAUAUAUGAACAUCAUUACCAUGUAGUAUCAUAUAUGAUCAAAUGUACUUUGCUUAUACAUCUAAAGCUUUGAUGGAAUAAUAAAUGAAAUCCAAAUAUGUUUUUUGUGCAUCUAUAUACAACUGAUAUUCUCAUAAUUAAAUAUAAUUGGCUUACUAAAUUGUUUUAGAGCAAUUGCACUUGAUAUACAAGAUAAAAAGAUUAUUUAGGUGAUUGGCUUCGUACUGUUUCAUUUUCCUUAUAUCCCAAAAGUAACCCUGUUGAUAUCUUGUCUCUGCUAGCGAUUAGUAAAUCUCUCCACAAUUUGUCUGGUUCCAAUUUCUUCCACUCAUGGAACUUCACCUCUGAUCCAUGCGGCUUUGCUGGAGUCUACUGUGACGGCGAUAAAGUAAUUUCUCUCAACCUCGGCGAUCCCAGAGCCGGUUCACCCGGAUAAAAGACCUUCGUUUCUUAGCAAUCAGCCAGAAUUUCAUCUCCGGGGAGAUUCCGGCGAGUCUCGGCGAGGUUCACCGUCUCAGAACGUUUGAUUUGAGCUACAAUCAGCUAGCGGGAACUAUUUCUCCGUCCAUCGGGUCCUUACCGGAGCUCUCCAAUUUGAUUCUCCGCCACAAUCACUUAACCAGAUCAAUCCCUCCGUUUCUCUCGCAAUCGCUAACCCGAAUCGAUCUCAAACGCAACAGCCUCACCGAUUCAAUCUCUCCCUCUGUCGUUGAGAUAUUUAUCACUCGCUUGGAACCAAUUAACCGGACCGGUUGACAGAGUUUUACUCCGGUUAAACCAGCUUAACUACCUCUCUUUCGUCUGACAUCUCUGACACAGCAUGUUUUGUGCGGUGAAUCUUGCAUGAGAGAUAUUGGCUGUGGGGAUUUCACGUCGAGGUGGAGGGACCACCGGAGACGCUCGUUCGAUGGAUGCUCCUGCGUUUUAACGGAGAUCGCCGCUGCGGUUUGCUAUUAUAUACGUUAACUCUUUGCUCUUUGUCUUGGAUGGAUAAAGGGGUUUGGUUUUGUGAUUGAAGAGAAUGAGAAAGUGUUGAGAUAUGUGGAGUGAUGAAUGAUGAUGCGUAUUUAUACGAACGUAAUUAAAUACAUAUAUGGCGACGUUGCUGGAGUUUUUUUUUCCGUUUCAUAGAAUCUAAUCUUAUCACUAUGAUUUCGUUUUAGGGACAGAAUGGUAAGUUCUCAUUCACCGAUUUAUCCUCAUACCUAAUUAAAAAGUUUUAUGUAUAGUUACCUAAAUAACUUUUAUUCUAUGUAUUUCCAACCAAAUAGGCCAU